UGCUUAACACAUGCAAGUCGAACGGAAAGGCCCUGCUUUUGUGGGGUGCUCGAGUGGCGAACGGGUGAGUAACACGUGAGUAACCUGCCCUUGACUUUGGGAUAACUUCAGGAAACUGGGGCUAAUACCGGAUAGGAGCUCCUGCUGCAUGGUGGGGGUUGGAAAGUUUCGGCGGUUGGGGAUGGACUCGCGGCUUAUCAGCUUGUUGGUGGGGUAGUGGCUUACCAAGGCUUUGACGGGUAGCCGGCCUGAGAGGGUGACCGGCCACAUUGGGACUGAGAUACGGCCCAGACUCCUACGGGAGGCAGCAGUGGGGAAUAUUGCACAAUGGGCGGAAGCCUGAUGCAGCAACGCCGCGUGCGGGAUGACGGCCUUCGGGUUGUAAACCGCUUUCGCCUGUGACGAAGCGUGAGUGACGGUAAUGGGUAAAGAAGCACCGGCUAACUACGUGCCAGCAGCCACGGUGAUACGUAGGGUGCGAGCGUUGUCCGGAUUUAUUGGGCGUAAAGGGCUCGUAGGUGGUUGAUCGCGUCGGAAGUGUAAUCUUGGGGCUUAACCCUGAGCGUGCUUUCGAUACGGGUUGACUUGAGGAAGGUAGGGGAGAAUGGAAUUCCUGGUGGAGCGGUGGAAUGCGCAGAUAUCAGGAGGAACACCAGUGGCGAAGGCGGUUCUCUGGGCCUUUCCUGACGCUGAGGAGCGAAAGCGUGGGGAGCGAACAGGCUUAGAUACCCUGGUAGUCCACGCUGUAAACGGUGGGUACUAGGUGUGGGGUCCAUUCCACGGGUUCCGUGCCGUAGCUAACGCUUUAAGUACCCCGCCUGGGGAGUACGGCCGCAAGGCUAAAACUCAAAGGAAUUGACGGGGCCCCGCACAAGCGGCGGAGCAUGCGGAUUAAUUCGAUGCAACGCGUAGAACCUUACCUGGGUUUGACAUGGAUCGGGAGUGCUCAGAGAUGGGUGUGCCUCUUUUGGGGUCGGUUCACAGGUGGUGCAUGGCUGUCGUCAGCUCGUGUCGUGAGAUGUUGGGUUAAGUCCCGCAACGAGCGCAACCCUUGUUCACUGUUGCCAGCACGUUAUGGUGGGGACUCAGUGGAGACCGCCGGGGUCAACUCGGAGGAAGGUGGGGAUGACGUCAAGUCAUCAUGCCCCUUAUGUCCAGGGCUUCACGCAUGCUACAAUGGCUGGUACAGAGAGUGGCGAGCCUGUGAGGGUGAGCGAAUCUCGGAAAGCCGGUCUCAGUUCGGAUUGGGGUCUGCAACUCGACCUCAUGAAGUCGGAGUCGCUAGUAAUCGCAGAUCAGCAACGCUGCGGUGAAUACGUUCCCGGGGCUUGUACACACCGCCCGUCAAGUCAUGAAAGUUGGUAACACCCGAAGCCGGUGGCCUAACCGAUGUGGGGGAGCCGUCGAAGGUGGGACUGGUGAUUAGGCC
rnacentral:rRNA from 1 species